rnacentral:snRNA from 1 species
GUGCUUGUUUUAGCCUUGUACUUAAAUUGGGGCUCUACAGAGAAGAUUAGCAGGGCUCCUCCACAAGGACACUUACAGUCUGUGCAGUGUUUUAUCUUU